GACGAACGCUGGCGGCGUGCUUAACACAUGCAAGUCGAACGGAAAGGCCCUGCUUUUGUGGGGUGCUCGAGUGGCGAACGGGUGAGUAACACGUGAGUAACCUGCCCUUGACUUUGGGAUAACUUCAGGAAACUGGGGCUAAUACCGGAUAGGAGCUCCUGCUGCAUGGUGGGGGUUGGAAAGUUUCGGCGGUUGGGGAUGGACUCGCGGCUUAUCAGCUUGUUGGUGGGGUAGUGGCUUACCAAGGCUUUGACGGGUAGCCGGCCUGCGAGGGUGACCGGCCACAUUGGGACGGAGAUACGGCCCAGACUCCUACGGGAGGCAGCAGUGGGGAAUAUUGCACAAUGGGCGGAAGCCUGAUGCAGCAACGCCGCGUGCGGGAUGACGGCCUUCGGGUUGUAAACCGCUUUCGCCUGUGACGAAGCGUGAGUGACGGUAAUGGGUAAAGAAGCACCGGCUAACUACGUG
rnacentral:rRNA from 1 species